rnacentral:rRNA from 1 species
CAGCAGCCGCGGGAAUACGUAGGGUGCGAGCGUUAAUCGGAAUUACUGGGCGUAAAGCGUGCGCAGGCGGUUGUGUAAGACAGGUGUGAAAUCCCCGGGCUUAACCUGGGAACUGCGCUUGUGACUGCACAGCUAGAGUGUGGCGGAGGGGGGUGGAAUUCCACGUGUAGCAGUGAAAUGCGUAGAGAUGUGGAGGAACACCGAUGGCGAAGGCAGCCCCCUGGGCCAAUACUGACGCUCAUGCACGAAAGCGUGGGGAGCAAACAGGAUUAGAUACCCCGGUAGUCCCUGUCUCUUAUAC